UAACACGUGGGUAACCUGCCUUAUAGUGGGGGAUAGCCUUUCGAAAGGAAGAUUAAUACCGCAUAAGAUUGUAGUAUCGCAUGAUAUAGCAAUUAAAGGAGCAAUUCGCUAUAAGAUGGACCCGCGUCGCAUUAGCUAGUUGGUGAGGUAAUGGCUCACCAAGGCGACGAUGCGUAGCCGACCUGAGGGGGUGAUCGGCCACAUUGGGACUGAGACACGGCCCAGACUCCUACGGGAGGCAGCAUG
rnacentral:rRNA from 1 species